ensembl:lncRNA
AAUCGGAUGAAAGCUACAAUAGCCACUGUUUGUUUGCAGUUUUAUCUUUUUAUUUUUAAACAAGCGUGAAAUGGUUAAAAAGACGCAGAGUAGUUCGGAUGCACAGACGAAUUUGCAUUUCUUUAAAGAUCUAGAUCCUCGGUGUGUCUCAUUUUAUAAAUCGAACCGCACCGCUUAAAAAACUGGCUGGUAAUUGACUACAAAACACGAGGAUAAGCCACUGAUCACCAGAAGAUGCGUUAAUUGCUCCGUGCGGUUUGAUGCUUCGAGAGACACAUCUGUCUGCUGAGAUUUCAGGCCGUCUUGGGGAAGGGCGUAUGGUGUAGCUGUGAUUACGCCACGAGCAGAUCCCUGUGGCGCGGCUCCAGCCCAACGGCCUGCACAAGAAUCCCUCUCCUUGCAUUUUUCAUGAGAGAGAGCAGGCCUUCUGCAUGCAGUAUUCAUGACCGCUCUUGCGUCUUCCGAACAAAGCCUGACAUAUCACUGGAUAUGCCACAAUGACACAACUAGCUGUCAGUGUGGUAAAGAUCUCUGAAUCAGAUGGUUUGACUGCGUCCAUUAGUGUCUCUCUGCUGCAAAUGAACUUUAAUGGACACAUUCAGUAGUGU